rnacentral:rRNA from 1 species
AGCAAUCCCCCGGUAGGGUGGCGAACGGGUGAGUAAGACAUGGGAAUCUGUCCCGGAGAUGGGGAUAUCCUUCCGAAAGGAGGGUUAAUACCGAAUACCGUCCGGUGGACGAGAGUCCAUCGGGGAAAGGGAGGCCUCUGGCAACAUGCUUCCGCUCCGGGAGGAGCCCAUGGCCCAUCAGCUAGUUGGGAGGGUAACGGCCUACCAAGGCGAAGACGGGUAGCUGGUCUGAGAGGACGAUCAGCCACACUGGCACUGAGACGCGGGCCAGACUCCUACGGGAGGCAGCAGUGAGGAAUUUUGCGCAAUGGGGGCAACCCUGACGCAGCAACGCCGCGUGUGGGAAGAAGGCUUUCGGGUUGUAAACCACUUUUGUAAGGGACGAAGUCCCUUCGGCAAAUAACCGAGGGGGAUGACGGUACCUUGCGAAUAAGCCACGGCUAACUCUGUGCCAGCAGCCGCGGUAAGACAGGGGUGGCAAGCGUUGUUCGGAGUAACUGGGCGUAAAGGGUCUGUAGGUGGUUUUUCAAGUCUUUGGUAAAACGCCGUGGCUCAACCAUGGUUUGGCCAAGGAGACUGGGAGACUCGAGGCUGGGAGAGGGAAGCGGAAUUUCUGGUGUAGCGGUGAAAUGCGUAGAGAUCAGAAAGAAGGCCGGUGGCGAAGGCGGCUUCCUGGAACAGACCUGACACUGAGAGACGAAAGCGUGGGGAGCAAACAGGAUUAGAUACCCUGGUAGUCCACGCCCUAAACGAUGGGAACUAAGUGUGGGGAGCAAUCCCCGUGCCGCAGCUAACGCAAUAAGUUCCCCGCCUGGGGAGUACGGCCGCAGGGUUGAAACUCAAAGGAAUUGACGGGGGCCCGCACAAGCGGUGGUGCAUGUGGUUUAAUUCGACG